GGUACUCCAUCUUCGGCGCAGAUAUUUUACCAGAAAGGAAGAUCUCCUUCAAGAUCCCCUCAGGAAUUCCUGCUCCACUGACGCACCCAAACUUCCGAGAGAACCCUAGCGGCUCUCCUCCAAGAUGUCCUGAAUUUUGAAGCUCUGUCCACAAAGCCCUGGCCUGGACGCAGACGUACGCCUUACUGUAUGGCCUCCGUGAGGGACUAAAAACCGACUUCUCCCUUCGCAAUGAAGCAGGGCUCCUUGACGCGGAUGUUGGACCUGACGAGCAGCCGCAGGGUGUUGGACCUGACAGAUCAGUAAAAAAGAACUGGGAUGCCCUAGAGCGUCCACCAUCUCCAUUGGAAUUGUGGUUGCACUAUGUAGCAUUAGCGGCAACCCAAGCCGAGGCAGGUAUUAGAUCGAUUCUCUAAAACCUAUACUAUCACUCUUUGCAUGCACGCCUCUUUUUUUUUUACCAAGAACUGUUCUGUUCUUUAGUUAAUAAUACUUUGUAGCACACCUAGAAGUUCAUAUGCACCCGACCUUUCCAUGAACCCCCUUUGCUCUAAUUAAUACUCCCUCCGUCCCAUAAUAUAAGAGCGUUUUUGACACUACACUGGUGUCAAAAACGCUCUUAUAUUAUGGGACAGAGGGAGUAGCACAUAUAUAUAAGUACAUAUUUGCGUUGCCGCCCAACUAACAAGUUUAAGCUCAAUUCGGCAAGCCACUUACAUUUACUUCAACUUACCAAUAUUGUGCUUGUAGAUCAUUGUACGUAAUAUUGAGGAUUGUCCGAUCAACUUCAGCCAGCAAUGACACAGCCUACAUCAUUAGUUCCAUCUAGCAACAACACCACCUCGAGCAGGUACCAUCUUCUGCACGAAAUCAAGCCACCUCCAACAGGAUCCAUAUUGGAAAACAAGUUCAAAUAGUUUACCAAUAGUAUACUGCGAGCAUGUUCUUUACAAAGCAUACUGGAAAUCCAAGGAACAAAAGUCAUGAAUGAAGCAAAAAAGGUUACAGAGAACAAACUUCUCAAUGAUCAG
rnacentral:lncRNA from 1 species